rnacentral:rRNA from 1 species
UGAGGAAUAUUGGUCAAUGGGCGCAAGCCUGAACCAGCCAUCCCGCGUGAAGGAAGACGGCCCUAUGGGUUGUAAACUUCUUUUGUACAUGAAGAAAGGGACCUACGUGUAGGUUCGUGACGGUAAUGUACGAAUAAGCAUCGGCUAACUCCGUGCCAGCAGCCGCGGUAAUACGGAGGAUGCGAGCGUUAUCCGGAUUCAUUGGGUUUAAAGGGUACGUAGGUGGCCCGGUAAGUCAGUGGUGAAAACCUGCCGCUUAACGGUAGGCGUGCCAUUGAUACUGUCGGGCUUGAGUGCAGUUGAGGCAGGCGGAAUGUGUAGUGUAGCGGUGAAAUGCAUAGAUAUUACACAGAACUCCGAUUGCGAAGGCAGCUUGCUAAAGUGCAACUGACGCUGAUGUACGAAAGCGUGGGUAGCGAACA